UACAGAGGGUGCGAGCGUUAAUCGGAAUUACUGGGCGUAAAGCGUGCGUAGACGGUUAUUUAAGUCGGAUGUGAAAGCCCCGGGCUCAACCUGGGAAUUGCAUUCGAGACUGAAUAGCUAGGGUACGGUAGAGGGAAGUGGAAUUUCCGGUGUAGCGGUGAAAUGCGUAGAUAUCGGGAGGAACACCAAUUGCGAAGGCAGCUCGCUGGGACGUUACUGACGCUGAGACGCGAAAGCGUGGGGAGCAAACAGG
rnacentral:rRNA from 1 species